rnacentral:RNase_P_RNA from 2 species
UCGGACAAAUGCUGCAUAAAUUUGUUAUGUAGAGGAAAGUCCAUGCUCACACAGACCUGUGAUGGCUGUAGCCUUCGUGCUUAGGGAAAAAAUAACCUAAGGUAGCAUAUGCUAACGGCAGGAGAAAUUUCUAAAAGUUUUACUCAUGAAAAAGUAUCCUUGAAAGUGCCAUAGUAACGUACAAACUGGAAACGGUGGAAAUGGAACGCGGUAAACCCCACGAGUGAGAAAUCCAAAAUUUGGUAGGAGAGCUCUUACAAAAGAACAAGAAUGGCGUAAGGGUCUAGUUUUUGCUAGAAGAUAAAUAUUUGUCGCCCGUAAGGGAACAGAACAUGGCUUAU